rnacentral:rRNA from 1 species
GCUGGAGUUACUAGUAAUCGCAGAUCAGAAUGCUGCGGUGAAUGCGUUCCCGGGUCUUGUACACACCACCCGUCACACCACGGAAGUUGGGGGCGCCCGAAGCCACUUAGCUAACCCAUUUGGGAAGCGAGUGUCGAAGGUGAAAUCAAUAACUGGGGUGAAGUCGUAACAAGGUACC